rnacentral:rRNA from 1 species
ACAUCCAGCGAACUUGGCAGAGAUGCCUUGGUGCCUUCGGGAACGCUGAGACAGGUGCUGCAUGGCUGUCGUCAGCUCGUGUUGUGGAAUGUUGGGUUAAGUCCCGNAACGAGCGCAACCCUUAUCCUUUGUUGCCAGCGAUUCGGUCGGGAACUCAAAGGAGACUGCCGGUGAUAAACCGGAGGAAGGUGGGGAUGACGUCAAGUCAUCAUGGCCCUUACGAGUAGGGCUACACACGUGCUACAAUGGCGCAUACAAAGAGAAGCGACCUCGCGAGAGCAAGCGGACCUCAUAAAGUGCGUCGUAGUCCGGAUCGGAGUCUGCAACUCGACUCCGUGAAGUCGGAAUCGCUAGUAAUCGUGGAUCAGAAUGCCACGGUGAAUACGUUCCCGGGCCUUGUACACACCGCCCGUCACACCAUGGGAGUGGGUUGCAAAAGAAGUAGGUAGCUUAACCUUCGGGAGGGCGCUUACCACUUUGUGAUUCAUGACUGGGGUGAAGUCGUAACAAGGUAGGCGUAGCGAG